rnacentral:rRNA from 1 species
ACACUCCUGCGGGAGGCAGCAGUGGGGAAUUUUGGACAAUGGGGGCAACCCUGAUCCAGCAAUGCCGCGUGAGUGAAGAAGGCCUUCGGGUUGUAAAGCUCUUUUGUCAGGGAAGAAACGGUGGUGGCGAAUAACUACUACUAAUGACGGUACCUGAAGAAUAAGCACCGGCUAACUACGUGCCAGCAGCCGCGGUAAUACGUAGGGUGCAAGCGUUAAUCGGAAUUACUGGGCGUAAAGCGUGCGCAGGCGGUUGUGUAAGUCAGAUGUGAAAUCCCCGGGCUCAACCUGGGAAUUGCAUUUGAGACUGCACGGCUAGAGUGUGUCAGAGGGGGGUAGAAUUCCACGUGUAGCAGUGAAAUGCGUAGAUAUGUGGAGGAAUACCGAUGGCGAAGGCAGCCCCCUGGGAUAACACUGACGCUCAUGCACGAAAGCGUGGGGAGCAAACAGGAUUAGAAACCCGGGUAGUCCCAUGA